UACGUAGGGUGCAAGCGUUGUCCGGAAUUAUUGGGCGUAAAGAGCUCGUAGGCGGUUCGGCAAGUCGGAUGUGAAAAUCUCCACGCUUAACGUGGAGGGGCCAUUCGAAACUGCUGUGACUCGAGUCCGGUAGGGGAGUGUGGAAUUCCCGGUGUAGCGGUGAAAUGCGCAGAUAUCGGGAGGAACACCAGUAGCGAAGGCGGCACUCUGGGCCGGUACUGACGCUGAGGAGCGAAAGCGUGGGGAGCGAACAGG
rnacentral:rRNA from 1 species